rnacentral:rRNA from 1 species
GCCCAGACUCCUACGGGAGGCAGCAGUGAGGAAUAUUGGUCAAUGGGCGGAAGCCUGAACCAGCCAAGUCGCGUGAGGGAAUAAGGCCCUACGGGUCGUAAACCUCUUUUGCCGGGGAGCAAGGGCGGGGACGUGUCCCGGCCCGGAGAGUACCCGGAGAAAAAGCAUCGGCUAACUCCGUGCCAGCAGCCGCGGUAAUACGGAGGAUGCGAGCGUUAUCCGGAUUUACUGGGUGUAAAGGGAGCGUAGACGGCAGUGCAAGUCUGGAGUGAAAGGCGGGGGCUCAACCCCCGGACUGCUCUGGAAACUGUACGGCUGGAGUGCAGGAGAGGUAAGUGGAAUUCCUAGUGUAGCGGUGAAAUGCAUAGAUAUCGCGCAGAACUCCGAUUGCGAAGGCAGCAUGCCGGCGCCACACUGACGCUGAGGCACGAAAGCGUGGGUAUCGAACAGGAUUAGAUACCCCGGUAAA